GACGAACGCUGGCGGCGUGCUUAACACAUGCAAGUCGAACGCUGAAGCCCUGGCUUUUGUUGGGUUGGUUGAGUGGCGAACGGGUGAGUAACACGUGAGUAACCUGCCCUCUUCUUUGGGAUAACGCCCGGAAACGGGUGCUAAUACUGGAUAUUCACUGGCCUUCGCAUGGGGGUUGGUGGAAAGGUUUGUUCUGGUGGGGGAUGGGCUCGCGGCCUAUCAGCUUGUUGGUGGGGUGAUGGCCUACCAAGGCUUUGACGGGUAGCCGGCCUGCGAGGGUGACCGGUCACAUUGGGACGGAGAGACGGCCCAGACUCCUACGGGAGGCAGCAGUGGGGAAUAUUGCACAAUGGGCGAAAGCCUGAUGCAGCGACGCAGCGUGAGGGAGGGAGGCCUUCGGGGUGUAAAACUCUUUCGCGCAUGGUCAAGCCGCAACUGUGGGUUGUGGUGAGGGUAGUGGGUAAAGAAGCGCCGGCUAACUACGUG
rnacentral:rRNA from 1 species